GCGGCCAUGAUGCAGUCAGUUCUCCGCGGCGGAGGUAUCUGAGCGUUAUCUGCGGUUAUCUGUCUGUGCAUUGCGUUCCUUUUCUUUAGUAAAUAAGGAUGGGAGAACCCAACUGUCGUGUGUCAUACCCGACAACGGGCUGGGUAAAUGACAUAUCUCGUUUGCCCACCGUGACGGACAACGCCAUAAAAGACUUUCACGCCAGGAAAAGUCUAGCCAAUCGACAUUACCGCCGCAGCUACAAGUUCACAACGGAAUCUUACGUUGUUGCAUCGACGCUGAAGGCUUGCUACAAGGACGAAACGCACAACAUGCUGUAUGUGACAUGCAAAUGUUACCGGAGUCAGAAGAAGAGAAGCGACCCAUAUACGAUUCUCAUCUGUCUCAACAACACCGGCGUUGUUAUAGAUAACAGUUGUGGAUGCCCUAUAGCAAAACGUGCGUAACCACAGCCUUGGUUCGCUGCGAUUUUUGGCACUGCUGCAGCUGUAAGGUUUUAAAGAGGCACCGGCUGAGCUUUCCUGCACAGAUUUACCACAAAAAUGGCGAGUGCCAAGGCAACAAGUUGUUAACGGUUAUGCAGUACAGGCGGUUGACUGGAGGCGACCAGAAGAAAACGGAAACGAGAACAGGAUCCCUCUGCGACUUUACGAUGCAAGAAAGAAGGCACAAUCUAAGGAAGAGGAAACCGAAGCUAUAAAACGAUUUGGAGAGCCCUUGCAUUGCUCGACGGUGAUAAAGGGUUUGCUGCUUCUCUUCUUGACGCAAGGCAUGAGUUCCAGCAAACGAAGUUCGGACAGUCUCUUUGUGGGGCACUUUUAACGUACCAACAAUCACUGACGCCAUCGGGGUUCAAGUCCUUCUUGUCUCCAAAUUUUUGUGGGACACACUGUGAGCUUCAGGAUGCCUUUAGUGCCACCUUUUACAGGAACAACAAUCCCUGGAAAGUUCAUGAUAGCCUCCCUACGCCAUACCAAGCCAUUCUGAUGAUAUGGCAUCAGCAAUGAGGCCGCGGUUGUCCAGCGUUACAGACAAGUCAUGUGCUCAGUUGGCCAUGACGUUGCUCUAUUAUCCUGUGGACUGUUUGUCGACCCUGCAACUCCAUGGCUCGGUGCUACACCGGAUAGGAUUGUCUUUGAUCCCACCGAGAGGAGCCCACACGGCGUGCUGGAAGUUAAGUGCCCCUAUUCACUCCGUGACACACCAGGGGAACUACUUAAGGAGCAAAUCUUUUAUAUGACAUUCAACAACGAGCACCCCCAGCUUAGAAGGGACCACGACUAUUAUGCCCAGGUUAUUGGCCAAAUGGGAUUAACAGGUUUGCAGUGGGCAGACUUUAUGAUGUAUGGGCCCGGAUUUCUGACCGUGGAAAGGAUUAGAUAUGAUGAAGAGGAAUGGGGGUGAUAUGAAGGCGAAGCUCACAACGUUUUAUUUCAGUGAUGCCCUACCAUAUUUUGCAAGGCAGGAAUGUUCAUAGGCUUGCACCAUAUUUGUAAUGUGCUUGUUGAAAGAUAGGAUGAUAAGAUAAGAUAAGAUGUUGAUAGAUAGCAGCGCUAGAACAAACUUUUGUUAUGUAUUAAUAAACUUUUAAAACUUGAA